AUGGCGCCGCCGCGGCAGGACUCCCCUGAGGGUUUGGAGGUGCAGUGCGCGGGGUGCGGCGAGACGCUGGAGGUGGACCCGGGCCUGACGGAGUUCAUCUGCCCGGACUGCGCCACGCCGCAGUCGCUCCCGCCGGAGCUCAUGCCGCCGCCGCCGCCGCGGCGGAAGGCGCUGCCCCUGCCCCGCGCGGCCGCCGACGUCCGGGGCGCGCGGCUCCCGUGCGGCUCCUGCGGCGCGCUCCUGAGCGUGCCCGUCGGGCUGGCGCGCUGCGCCUGCCCGGUCUGCGGCGCCGAGCUCGCCGUCGACACCGCGCGGCUCCGGCAUUACCUCCUCUCGUCCGCUACGGCGGAGGGCGCCGUGCCCGUGGUGCCACUCGGCGACCCCUCGGCCCCACCCAUCCUCCAAGCCCAGCAGGUGCGGCAAGAACAUCCUAAUUUUGGGAUUCGUGCAGGACUUUUGUGGACAGAUCCUGAUAAUCGGACAAAUUGUAUGGGACAGGUACAAACAAAUCAGCCAAAUCAGCUUAUUCCAGAGCAGGCAGAUCUGGAUAAUCCUGGUUCUACGAUUGAGAGAGGGGAGGUACAUGAUGUCAGUGGGGAGGUACAUGAUGUCAAUGGGAUUUUUGCUAAGCGGACAAGCAUGUAUUCAGUUGGCCCUGGAAUUGUUAGUCCCGAAAGGAGACAUGAAGAGCCUCAAAAUCAUGACCGCCAUCAGGCGCAAGUUCAAUCUUCUACAACACGUAUAAAUUGCAGAACUGGGCGAUCUACUGCCCCCCAAACUGUAAAUAUAGAAAAGAGGCAGCUGCUCACUCCCGAUCAGACCAUACAACAGGCAGAAAAACAGCCUUCUUGUCGUGCAAUAUGUACAGAGAAGGCUCAUGCAGAGGAUGCAGAUGGGGUGAUUCAUGUCCAGGAAAAGCAACAACAGCGUGUCAGCCAGGUAAAUCAUACAGAAGAAUUAUGCACUCAGGCGGCCAAUGAGAUAAUUACAAGGGACAACAAUGGAACGAGAGUCGGGUAUGCAGCUUGCAGUGAUGCUGCAUUUGCAGAGAGGAGGAAGGUGCAUGAAGCAAAUGACGCUAUAAAACAGGUGCAAAGAAAACAAUCUGAUUCAACGGUUCAUAUGGAACCGGAAAAUGAAGUGAUCCAUGUAGAAAAGGAACACUCAAAAUCUUUCAGUUGCAGAACCCCCAAGCAGAAAAAGAAGGGUUUGACAGCUGCUUCCAAUCCAGGCCUUCAACUUAGGCGCAGCAAACGUUUGGUGAAAGAUUCACCUGCUUCCAUAGACCAAGAACCUGUUCAAAAUGUGUUUCUUGAGAGUCAAGAAGGAACUUCGAUUAGCCACAUACCAGCCACCGUCAGAGUCAGUGAACCAACAGAAAGUGAUUCUGAUUCACUGCAUGCUGGUUCUCCAGAACAGAGUGAACCAACAGAAAAUGAUCCUGAUUGGCAGCAUGCUGGUUCUCCAGAACAGAGUUUAUCGGACUCUCCAGAUAUUGAUAGAAUCAUCAACAAUAUAAAGCCUAGUCCACCCCCUCCCUGUGAGAUGCAUGAACCAAGCUCUAACAAGUUAGACAGCCCUCAUUUAACUACACCAACUUCUAAUUCAGAUCUCAACUUGUCCGAUCCCGAGCAGUUUGCACGUAAUUACAUCCCCCUUGAGGUUAGGAAGGCCCUUCCAGCGCUGAGAUCUAAUUCAUUGUUUGAGCAUACCAUGUCCCAGGCAAGCUAUGGCGAGGCAAGCCUGCAUGAUUUAACUGAUUCAGAAGGAGACGACCCUUGUAGCCCGACUCUCCAGAAUGUUGCAGGUACCAAGAGAAACCACAAACGUCUCCGUUGUGGUCUGAAACUCAGUCUUGAGGUGUGGACCUUGCCUAAAGGUGUGCGCAUACCGGUUUCAUUGAACACUUCAGGUGAACCUGUUGGAAAAGCGGCAGGCACCCUAAGUAACUUUUUGUGUGCAAUAGCACGAGAUGGCGUAUUGGCACCGCUAACAUAUCAUGAUUGGAGGCGUGUUCCGGAGAAAAACAAGAAUAUAAUCUGGCAUAUUGUCAAGCUCAAAUUUGACAUUGCUCCGGUUGGUGAGUUAUGGAUCAUGAAGUCCUUAGGAAAGAGGUGGAGGAGUUGGAAAUCUUUCUUGAAACUACAACACUACGAUACUCAUGAGACGGAAGAGGAACGCCUUGCUGAUCGAAAUCCUCGUGUUCUCAAAGAACAGUGGCAAUUUCUAGUUGCAUAUUGGAGUACUGAAAAGGCGAAGGCCGCAAGUGCUCGCAGUAAAGCUUGUCAGUCAAAUGUGGUCGCUCAUCAUACUGCAGGAACAAAGAGCUUUGCAAGGAUAAUCGAGGAGGAGAAGCAAAAACGGCCUAACAAGGACGGGCCCAGUGUUGAGGAUCUGUUCAUAAUGACUCAUACACCCAAGAAUGGGAAACCUAUGAAGAAGGCAACAGCUGAUGCCAUUGCACGACUUCGUAAGCAGGUAGAGAGUUCAGGAGGUGAUUCUGCUGCACAUGACUCCUCGAAGGUCCCACGAGGGAAGGCAGUCCUGCAGGCAUCCUUCAAGGAAGCCAUGGAGGCUAAACGCAGAGCUGAAGACGAGGCAUCGGCGCUGAAGGAAAAAAUGAUGGCAAUGGAAGAAAGCCAGAGAAAGAUGCAGGAAGAUUUGGCGAAUAUGAAGAGUGCAGUUAGCGCUAUACACAAGACGGCACCAACUGGUGACUUGCAAGGUCAACAAAUGCACAAAAAAACGCCUGUUAGUAAAAACUCUCAAGACGAGCCAACAGGUGGACCAUCGUUUCCUCCAGGUUUCGCAAAGAAUCCGAAUCCUUCACAACCCACGCGGCGUUCAAAACGGGCCAAGCGCUCGUGA
rnacentral:rRNA from 1 species